rnacentral:rRNA from 1 species
UACGAAGGGGGCUAGCGUUGCUCGGAAUCACUGGGCGUAAAGGGUGCGUAGGCGGGUCUUUAAGUCAGGGGUGAAAUCCUGGAGCUCAACUCCAGAACUGCCUUUGAUACUGAAGAUCUUGAGUCCGGGAGAGGUGAGUGGAACUGCGAGUGUAGAGGUGAAAUUCGUAGAUAUUCGCAAGAACACCAGUGGCGAAGGCGGCUCACUGGCCCGGUACCGACGCUGAGGCACGAAAGCGUGGGGAGCAAACAGG